AGAACCGUGGUGCUAACUUCUGAAAUGAUACAAAGAAGAUUAGCAAGACCUCUGCAUAAAGAUGACGUGCAAAUUCCUGAAGUGUUCCAUAUUUUU
ensembl:snRNA U6 U6 spliceosomal RNA